rnacentral:rRNA from 1 species
ACCCGCUGAACUUAAGCAUAUCAAUAAGCGGAGGAAAAGAAACCAACAGGGAUUGCCCUAGUAACGGCGAGUGAAGCGGCAACAGCUCAAAUUUGAAAGCUAGCCUUCGGGUUCGCAUUGUAAUUUGUAGAGGAUGAUUUGGGGAAGCCGCCUGUCUAAGUUCCUUGGAACAGGACGUCAUAGAGGGUGAGAAUCCCGUAUGUGACAGGAAAUGGCACCCUAUGUAAAUCUCCUUCGACGAGUCGAGUUGUUUGGGAAUGCAGCUCUAAAUGGGAGGUAAAUUUCUUCUAAAGCUAAAUAUUGGCGAGAGACCGAUAGCGCACAAGUAGAGUGAUCGAAAGAUGAAAAGCACUUUGGAAAGAGAGUUAAAAAGCACGUGAAAUUGUUGAAAGGGAAGCGCUUGCAAUCAGACUUGUUUAAACUGUUCGGCCGGUCUUCUGACCGGUUUACUCAGUUUGGACAGGCCAGCAUCAGUUUCGGCGGCCGGAUAAAGGCUCUGGGAAUGUGGCCUCCACUUCGGUGGAGGUGUUAUAGCCCAGGGUGUAAUACGGCCAGCCGGGACU